rnacentral:rRNA from 1 species
GAUGUUGGUGGUGAAAGCUGGGGAUCGAAAGACCUAGCGCAAGGAGAGGGUCCUGCGUCUGAUUAGCUAGUUGGCGGGGUAACGGCCCACCAAGGCGACGAUCAGUAGCCGGCCUGAGAGGGUGAUCGGCCACACUGGAACUGAGACACGGUCCAGACUCCUACGGGAGGCAGCAGUGGGGAAUUUUGCGCAAUGGGCGAAAGCCUGACGCAGCAACGCCGCGUGGGUGAUGAAGGUCUUCGGAUCGUAAAACCCUGUCGUCGGGGACGAAGGUUGUAUGCCUAACAGGUGUGCAGCUUGACGGUACCCGGAGAGGAAGCCCCGGCUAACUCUGUGCCAGCAGCCGCGGUAAUACAGAGGGGGCAAGCGUUAUUCGGAAUUAUUGGGCGUAAAGGGCGCGUAGGCGGUUCGUUAAGUCAGAUGUGUAAUCCCCGAGCUCAACUUGGGAACUGCAUCUGAGACUGGCGGGCUAGAGUACUGGAGAGGGUGGUAGAAUUCCACGUGUAGCGGUGAAAUGCGUAGAGAUGUGGAGGAAUACCAGUGGCGAAGGCGGCCACCUGGACAGUAACUGACGCUGAGGCGCGAAAGUGUGGGUAGCAAACAGGAUUAGAUACCCUGGUAGUCCACGCUGUAAACGAUGAACACUUGGUGUGGUGGGAGUUGACCCCUGCCGUGCCGUAGCUAACGCGU